rnacentral:rRNA from 1 species
UACGUAGGGAGCAAGCGUUGUCCGGAAUCAUUGGGCGUAAAGCGCGCGUAGGUGGCUUCGUAAGUCCGUUGUGAAAGUCAAAGGCUCAACCUUUGAAAGCCGAUGGAUACUGUGAAGCUAGAGUACGGAAGAGGCGAGUGGAAUUCCUGGUGUAGAGGUGAAAUUCGUAGAUAUUAGGAAGAACACCAGUGGCGAAGGCGGCCAACUGGCCCGAUACUGACGCUCAUGUGCGAAAGCGUGGGAGCAAACAGG